rnacentral:lncRNA from 1 species
AGACGCGCGUGCCCAGCUGAACCAGGUGCGUGAGAAGGCUGCCUUCAGGUGGCCGGGGGCUCCCUCCAGCUGUCUCUAGACGGAGGGACGGGAAGUGGCCAGAAGGGGAAGUGUGAGGAGUUCCCGUCCAGCCUGUCAUCAGUCUCCCCAGGUCUUGAAGCGGCGGCCCUGCUCCUGGCCGUGACCAUGGACCCUCUGGAGACCCCUAUCAAGGAUGGCAUCCUCUACCAGCAGCAUGUCAAGUUUGGCAAGGUGGGGACCCCUGGCUGCCAGGCAGCUGCCAAGGACCAACAGUGGGUGGAGAAUGCAGCCUCUGCCCCUGCCUCGGACAGCCCAGGCAGACCUGGGAGACUUGGGAAGGGAGUCAGGGUGGAGGAUCCCACCCAGGUAUGGGGAGUGGAAUGGAGUGCGGGUGUCAGCCUGAGACGGCAGGGGCUGAGCAGGCUCUGCCAGACCCUGCCUCCGGGAGAGAUGGGAAAUACAGGAGUGGGAGAGGGUCGAAGGCUCAAACCUCCCAGCAGGGAAGAGCUUCACAGCCUCUGACCCAUGAAAUAGUGCCAC